GGCAUCGUAGCUCAGUGUGCUAGAGCUUUGGCUGAACUAACGCCUUCAUCUUGCUGGCGUGGGUUUGAAUCCCACCGAUGCCA
rnacentral:tRNA from 1 species